CCUCUCCUGUUGUUGCUACUGCCGCCCCUCCCCUUCCUCCAUGGCUCAUCUCUUUUUUUUCUUCUUUUUUUCGCUUCAAAUUUCCUAAAGACCCAACAUCUAACUUUGCGAUUUUGCUAAAACCUCUUCGGAAACAACCUUCAUACUAAUUUUUGACCAUGAAAAAUCUCAUUUUGAGCAAAGGUUUUCAUGGGUUUUAGUGUGAGAAAAUGAAGCUAGAGAGAGAAAGGUUCAACAAGAUAAGAAUGGUGUUUUUCUAACUCUCCUAGCAUGAUAUUUGAGUUUAAUUGUUAUAAAAAAGCUUAAAAAGUUUUGAUAUUAAUUUUGGAUAUAUUUUUGUGUGUAUGGAAAAAGAGAAAAUGUGUAAGGAUGGAUUUCAAGUUUGUUGGAGAUUGGAUUCAAGCUUUUGGAAGUGUGAUUUUGAGUAUUUUAACAUCUAAGAGGUAAGUAUCCUUGGAUAAUCUUGCUUUUCCUAUACUAAUAUGUUUAGGUAAACAGGGGAAUUGUAUAUUGAAUGAGAAUUUAGUUAUGUAAAAUGGAUACGUGGAAAUCACUUGUCUUGAAAAUGGUUAAAAUAUAUAAGUAAUAAGUUAGGGGUAAUGACCUUGCUUAUGAAAUGUUAUAUUCAGUAAGAAUGUGCUAUGAUAAAAUUUAGUUGCUAUGAAUUAAUUAAUCAAGACUAUUUGAUAUAUGUGAAUAUGUAUGAAUUAUGAUUCUUAGUAAGAAUAAAUAUAAUAGUAUGUUGCCAUAGCAAAACAAUAAUUAAUAUGCCAAUAUGGCCACCUUGUUGAGUAAAAGAAUUUGGUGUGUGAUAGUUUGUGUAUGAUUUAGAAAUGAAAGCCUAAAUUAAAGAUUGAAUAUAAAGCGCAAUAUGUGAAUAUUAAAUGGCCAUGAAAGUGAAUUUGAGAUUUAUAUCACCUAAGUGAUAAGUGAAAUAUGUAUGAAACAAUAAUGAGUGGCUUUAUGAGCCCUUGAUAUGUGACCUCGAUUAACGAGAAUUAAUAAGUGAUUCAAAGAGAAAUAUGUAAAUUGAGUAAAUAUGGAAAUAGGCACAUGUAUAUUCCUUUUAAACGAUUUUGGUGGGAUACGAUUGACAUGCAAAUAGGGAUUUAUGUGCACUUGGAGUUUUGUAUUGGAGAUCUUGAUUCCUCAGAGCUUACCACUUCAUUGCUCUCCUAUAGUGUGGGAUGAUACACUUAUGUGUAAUUUGGUUAUGUUAGAGGGUUGUGGUAUGGUACCUAGAACUUAUGUGCUUCAUGGUUAUCCAUUUCAUGUUUUGCUAGAGUUUACUAACGGGGAAACAAAUUAAAAAUCAUAAUGAGAAGUUUGGCCUUUGAAUAUAAGACAUUAAAAGAAAGUAAGAGUGUUACAUGCUAAGAACAAAAGGCCUAAAAGGUUUACAAUAACAAUGAAUAAGUGCUUAAACUACGGUUUUAAUAUAUCAUGAUAUUAAGUUCCGAUUAAUGGUAAUACAAGGAGAUUUGAAAUAAUCCAACAUAGUUAAAUAAUUAUGCAUUUAAUAAUAUGUUUACUAUGAGUCAUAAUCCAUGAAAUUAUGAUUAAACUUUAUGAUGUAGUAUGCCCCUAAUAGGGAAACAAGCAAAUGAAAAUAUGACUUACAUAAUGAACUCAUAGCCAUAAGUGGAACUCAUAUGUGAAUAAGCUAGAAAGUUAAUUGAAAAUGAUAUGGAAUUGGAUUGGAUUAUGUAUAUGAUCUUGACAAUAAUCAUGAACACUAAUUUGCAAUACAAAUUGUUAAAGAACCAAUAAUAGGUAAAUUCAGCUCCAUAAUUUGGUAAUUAGAAUUGAAUCCAUUAAAAUGGCUUAGUAUGGUGGAAAUGACUUGGAAUAGUUCUAGAUAAGGAUUUAUAUUAGGAUGAGAGAAGUAGGCUCACCCUUGAGUACUUGUUGAGCUUUUUAAGCUCACACGUGAGUGGUUUAAACAUAUACGUAAAGGAUUAGGUGAGAAGUUUAAGGUUUGAACUUGGGAGCUUCGCAUCACAUCUUACUUGAGCUUGUAAUAUAUUUAUAUUAGCAUUAUUGUAUAAAGAUUUUAGCAUGUACAUAAGGACUUAAUUUGAAUACAUUAUUUAUAGAAUCUGAUUUGAAAUUUAAGUUGUUUUGAUGUAAUUAUUCAUGUUUUAUUCCAUUAUUUGACUUGGAUGUGUUUAUGCUUUCUAUUUUGAGUUUAAAUGGGUUCUGGAAAUUGAUUUUAAUGCUUUGGACCAUGUGGAAAUGUAUGAUGAAGUUUGGACAUGUUUUGGAGUGUUUUUAGGUUGAUUUUUAGCUUUAAGGGCUUAGGGUUCGGUACCCUUACCAUAAGUAUCGAACCAGGAUAAGUCAGUAGAUAAAAUGCUACAGUACCAAUGCAAGGUACCAAUACAUAAGGAGCUAUGUACACGAUACUUGCAGCUUUGUACCUACAAAAGUGUGUUUUUAGACCUCAAAACUGAUUUGAAAGUAUAUGGCCUCUUUUAUGGGUAAGACUUGAGUCGAGACACAUUAUAAUUUUUUUUUAAAGCCCUUACGAUGUUGAAAAAUGUUUUAUGAUAUUUUUAUUUAAAAUUAUCAAAUGUUUAAUUUAUAUCUUUUGAUUGUUUUAGGCUUCCAAAACCUAGUUUUAUACCUCAAAUAUCUCCAACCACCUAUUAAAUGAUUCAAGUUGAUUUCAACACAUUUCAAGAGCUUCACUACCACCUCAAACGUGAUUUAAUGAUUUUAUAAAACUAUUUAAGAUUUGAAAUGUAACACCCCUCGCCCGACUUGAUUGUCGGGCCCGAACUGUCGAAUCUUAUAUUCAUUGCUUGAGCAACUACAUCCAAUUUAUGCAAUAAUUAAUCAUUCAUAGAUGCAAUUAAGUGUCAAUCACAUUCAAUUUAUGUUAAACAAUCAUUUAUGGGUCUUAUACAAGUUUAUAAAAGCUCUUUUAUUAACCAUUGAAUGAAAGAUAACCAAAUUGUAAAGUUUGAAAAAUUUAGGAUUGAUGUCGCGACUUAAUCACUUCCCAUGUCAUUAUAUUGUCAACACAGUAAGUUAUGUCACAACUUCAUGCCACUCGCGUAACGUCACUUACUCUCGAUCUAUGUUGCGACAAGAGAUGUUGGUCGUCGAAACAUGACCCUUAUUUUUUGGCAAAAUGUACAUUUUGGUACCCGUUCCAUAGCUUGCAACCAAAACCUUUCAACAUGAUCACCUAUAUACCACUUCCACUUGAUUCAAACCAUAUUAAAACAUGCCAAACAAUAUCAAAUAUUCAAAUUCAACCUCUUAUCAAGGCCUUCAAUAAUUACUAUUACAACAUAAUAACAAAGUCAAGAAAAUACCCAACCUUACCUAUGCCAUAUCACAUUGAAACUUAUCAUUUCACUUCAAUUACAUAUGCUUAUGAACAUUAUGCACAUCUAUGGUUUAUAAGCCUUCAGCAUGAACACCAACUAUCAAGAAUAAGCCUCAUUUUACAAGCAUACUUUAAGGUACAAUUUUUCAAAUACAUAUUCAUCUUAUUCACCUAUUAACCAAGCUAUCAUUUCUACCUCAAUCUAUGCCAUUCUGCAUGCCAUAUAUAUAGUAAUAGAUCAUCACAUCUUUAAGCAUAAAAUACAUAUAUGUCUAACACCAUAUGUGAGUCAAAACACCAAAUCAACAUAUUAUAUAUAAUGGUUAAGUCAAACUUAUCAAGUAGUAAACACAUUCACAUACUAAGAUACACACCAAGUCACUUAUAUGCAUUCCAAAACCCUAGACUCAAAAUGAUUGCAUAACUACCGAUUCAGUGAUAAUGUAAGUUUUAAUACGAUCCAGCUUGACGUGUUUCACAAGGUAACAAUCUACAAGGAAAGGAAAACAAACAAGGUAAGCAUAUUAGAUUCUUAGUAAGUUCAUAUGUUUAGUACAAGUUUUACCUUAUUCUUACCUAACAUUUUAAAGUUAUAAUAGCUUGGCAACAUGUUUCGCUAGACAUGCAAAUCAAAACACAAAUAAUGUGAGCAUUGAUUUAUAAUCAAAUAUGAGAACAUAAGUGUUUAAUGACCACCUCUGGAUGUACCAACAUCUAGAGUAAGAAUCCUGCAUAAAAGAUAUGAAGUAAGUGGUAUCUGCAAGUAUACGAGUUAGGUUGUAACAUAGUUACAAUGAAGUAAGUGAGUACUCUAAGGAUCAUACCCAAGGGAGGUGAAGAAUCCUGCAUAAAAGAUAUGAAGUAAGUGGUAUCUGUAAGUAUACGAGUUAGGUUGUAACAUAGUUACAAUGAAGUAGGUGAGUACUCUAAGGAUCAUACCCAAGGGAGGUGAGUACUAAAUUAAUCCUAAUCCAAACACAAAUAGAUCUAAUUAGUACUUUAAAUAAAUUAUAUUAUGAAUAAACAUAAGGAGAGAUUUUUGAGGUUUUUAUAACAAUAAAAUAAAUAAAGAGACUUUGAGAAACUAAUUAUGUAAACUAAAUUUGACAUAAGCAUGGGUGAUUAGCUCACUUUGGUAAUCAUAACUAACUGUCGCUUCAGGUUUCUAUUCAAUCAACUAGUCGUUACCCUAGUAGGACUUCUCGAUCUUCCACUAAACUAAUGAGUCGGUAAGAACUACUUAUCUCUUGACCUCACAGUUCAGACCGGUUCGAGGCUAAGGUGUUCAUAGAUAGACCAUACCAAUUUUGGGUUAAUUCCUACCUAAAUGACUUCCUAAGGUUGUCAAGCCUAGGGUUUAAGUUUUUCCUCUCCCAAACAGCUGAUUUGUUAAGAAAACCCUACAUAACAAUUAAUUAGUCUUACUUCCACUCACUAAUCCCCCAUAAGAGAAUUAGUUCCUCAUGGAUUUCAUAAACACAUUAGACUUGAUGCUAAAGUAAACAUGAAUAAUGGAUAAAUAGAAAAUGAAUCCUGAAUUGUAUUUGAAUGAAGUGCAGAAUCUACAAAGAUUUGAUUGAGUCUACAAAUCAGAUCUCCCGACAAAUGCAAAGAUAAAAACUAGAAAUAACAUAAAACGUAAGAAAAAGGUAAAAAUUGAAAAAUGAAAUUACGAAGAAAAUUCUAAAGUAUGAAAAGUUGUCUAUAAAAAGUGUUAAAUGAGCCUAUUUAUAGAUUUAGGGUUAUCGUCGUCCUCAACCCUAGGUCAGCUGACGCUUUUGUAUUAAACAUUCAAUUGUGUAGACCAAAACGUCCCUGAAUUGUAAGUAUUUCUCGUACAGGACCGAUGUUACGACACCCUAGUGCGUGUGUCGCAACAUUGACGGUAGUAUGCUCAGAUUCAGGUUGGCUUUAGGGGUGUGUCGCGACAUCCCUUGGUUGUGUUGUGACACUGAAGGUAAUCUUGAAAUUUUUGUAUUGUACUCCCUAUGUUGUGACUUCAAACUCCUAGUGUUGCAACACAGCAACCAGGUACGCUCACUAAUGGUCAAUUGCAUAGUCAUUAAGUAUAUUAGCUCACCCUUAGGGCUCAUUCAACCCCUAAGGUUAAUAAAAGGCUCAAAUUUAAAUUUUUAUUAAAUGUAAAUGAAACUAUGAAAACUUAAUUGAAACAUAAUAAAAGUGCUUGUAUUCAAGCUCCUCAAGUGAAAAAACUAGUUUAAUUUGCUACAUCAAAUUACGGUAGAUAAUUUAACAUGCCAAAUUACAUCACUUUAGGUAACUAAUCUCAAAAACACAUUCAAUCAAUGAAUAAUACAAUCAAAACCAUGGCAAAAGAAUUACCUCAAUCAAUUUUUCAUGUUCAAUUCAUUCAAUGACUUUCUAUUUCAAUAUCCAGUUCAUUUCAUCCUAUUUCAAUUUCUUAAUUUUAUAUAAACAACUUCGCCUGAUGAACCCUAGUAAAUGGACUCAGAUACGGAUGUAACUACACCACAUGAUAAAGAAUGAGGCGGAAGAAUACGCAAUUAGAUCGUAAAUUUUUUCUAAGUCGCGGAUUUGACUUGGGGCUCUAGACGUUAAAAAAGAAACUUGGAUUCUAACAUAACCUGAAACAAAAAUGAAUCCAAGUCAGAUAAAAAUAAAGAGAACAAUUAAAAAUAAAUAGCUAAGAUGAAUAAAAUAGAAUAAUGAAAUCAAAUAUUAGAAUAACAAAAAAGAAAAUAAAGUCGAUAGAUGGAAAAAAUAGAACGUGAUAUGUAGAAGUCCUAAGAAGCCUUAGAAACAUAAAGAAUCCACAACCCCCUUCAAGGGCUCUAAUUUCCCCUCCAAUAUAAAAACCUUGGCAAGAAAAAGUUUAAAGAUGAUCUCCACAAUCUAAAAAGAUUGUUAAAACUCUUCUAAAAGAAAUUUAAGAACAAUUCUUGAAAAGAAAAACUCAAAGAGAAUUUAAAUAAUAAUCAAUUAUUUUUUUAUUUGUGUACAAUGCAAAGGCCUGUAUACAGGUUAGCUAAAUAGAUCUAAAUAAAACUCUUAUGUAUACUAGAACUAUAAGUAAUCUAAACAAGAAGUAGUUUUAAAUAAACUUUCUUGUUGACAUAAAACUCCUCAAUAACUUAAACUACUUAAUAAUUAUUAAAAAUUUGGAAUAAUAAAGUAAUAAAAUAAUAAGAGAUGAUAUAUACAGUAUUGGGCUCAUGUAUAAUAAAAAUUAAACCCAAACCUCGAACCCAAUAUGAUUUAAACUUAAAUUAAAGGCCUGAAACUCAUAAUUCUCGUCGUAAUCACGUCCAGAAAUUCUACUCAUGCAGUCUUUAUUAAAAAAAUCAUAACUUGAGCUCCUAAACUCGAAAUCAAGUGAUUUAAAGUGAGUUUCGAAGAUAAGAGAUAGAUAUUUGAAUUCCAUGUAGACAUCUCAACCCAGAAAUGCCUGGAUCCUAUCCAAAAAGUUGUCACAAGUCUAUUAAUUUCCCAAACUUGAAAAUUGGUAGCUUUGGUGAAUGGAAUUUAAUAAAUUUCACCUCAUCCGUGUAUGUAUCACCAUACCAAUUGCUCAUCCAAGGUAAGUGUAAUUAUAUACUUGGUUACUCAUCCAAACUAAAUCAUUAUCACGACCUUUAGGUUACUUUUCUGAGCUAAACCUGGGUCACAUAAAUACUGAAAAUCUACAACAAAUGUUGGAUCUUAUUAACAUCUUUAAGAAAUCUCGUACAAGCACGUACUGUUGGGAAAUGUGCUCAUACUGUAGUAAAUAUGCAAUUAUUUUAUAUGUAUUUGAACGAUGAAUGAAUAACUAAUGUUAAUUUCACAUUUCAUUAUUAUGUCUUUUAUGUUUCUUUCUUUCAUGUUUUGCGUGCAUAGCAAAAUUGUGGCUAGCAAAUAUUAGCUAAUUGAUUGUUUAAGCUCAAGCUGAUGAUAAGUGGCACUGUAAUAAUAUUUACAUUGCGAGAAAGACAACUUACUUUAGUAGAUAAUCUAAAUGAGUCUGUAAUCCCAUAAAAGAAUCAAAAUGAACAUUUUAUUCAAAUACUUAGAAGGAUUAUUAUGUCAUCUACAAUUCUGAUUAGGGAGAUGACUAGUCUUAGAUAUUGGAGAGUUGACUCCAUAGGUAGAGACAUAAAUAUAUUCAUUGGAAGAAUGAUACAUUGGACUGGACCAAAGAUGAAUUAAUUCUGAAUCUAUUUGUGAAUUAGUUCAUGUGUGACGUUCAUGAUGUGAUUUACCUAAAUCAUGAGUUAGUCACUGACCAUGCAUAUGUAACUUAUGUGCUUUGAUAUAAGUGGAGGCUUACGCUCUAAAGAUUAUCGAUCCCAUAUCCAAUAUGUUGGGUACAUAACUUGUGUAUGGCAUGACUUUACUAGUAAUAAUGGAAUUCAUAACUUAGUUAAAGAGUUAACAAUAUCCUCUCAUUAUCAUUGUGUAAAUUGAUAAAUAUAGAACGUGCCUGAUCGGCUGUAAACGUCAAAACAAAAAUGUGCAAGCGUACACUGUCGAUGAAAGUAUAAUAGACAGAUGUGAGUCUGUUGGAUAUCGAUCCCACAGGGAUGGUUGUCUUUUGUCUAUUAAUAUCGGUGUAAUAACUAGAUAAAAACGAGAUAAAUUGUGAGUAUAGUUGUCGAAGCAAUAGCAUGAAAGUAAUAAGAUAAAGUAUACUAUGGAUAAACUAGGAUCCCUAACAUGAAUCUUCAGCGGUAUACUAAGUACUCACAAGGUAUAAAAGAUAGGUUAUUGUAGACACAAUAAAAUUUAAUGUAUAUAUUAACAAAUGCCACUCUUUUAUUUAAUCUGGGACAUAACCAUACACAUUAACCUCACCUUUCGAUAUGGCAAUUGGCACUAUUAAGAAUAAGUGGACUAAAUUCCUUUUACUCAACUUCCGCAGAAAUGUUUAUUAGCUCGAACUGUCAUUGCACCUUCUAGUGUUAGUGACUGUAAUAACACUUCCGUGUUUAGAACAUUCAAACCCCCAAGAUUAAAUAAUAAAAAUAAGAUUUAAUAAGAUAACAUUUAAGAAAGCAUUUAUUGUACUUCCAUACUAUAAAAAACAUAGAGUAAUCACUAGCGUUUUCAAAGAAAUGAGAAAGAAUCAAAUGGAGAAUAGUUCUUAAGCUACUUGAUUGAAUCUCUCCAUUUCCCCUUGUUCUACACUUAGAUCCUCUCGUCAGGAGUGGAUCUGCAUCAGCCUUCACGUUGGCUUACCCAAAGGAGGCUCAAGCUGCCAUGGCCGCAAGCUUCAAACUAGGGUAAGAGAAUGGUGGUCCAGCAAAAAAUUCUUUCUUCAUUCUUCUCACGUUAUCCUUUUAUGUUUUCCUUAACAGUACAGGUGUUCUUCCCUCAGAAUUCUUCUGUCCUUGUUCGUACAGAAUAGUUAUAUCAGACUAGACAGCUCGCGCAUGGUUGGUUCUUAUUAGACAGCUGUCAACUGCGGUGACAAUUUUGGACGCAUCUAGAAUUAACUCAUGCAACGACAUUGUGGACAUUUGUCGACUACAGCGACAAUUCCAAACGCAAUCUGGAAUUAACUCAUGCAGCGACAUUAAUGCAAUAAGAUAGUAAAAUUAAGGAUAAAAUAGGCUAGGAUUCAUUGAGUUAUAAAAUGAAAUUUAUUAAACUAAACAUGCUAAAAUGUAUUCUAAAGGUAACUAAAUGGGAACAAUUUAACCAAUAAGUAGUGGGAAAAUUAAGUUUUUUUUAGUGCUAUCACACACCCUCAAACUUGAAUUUUUACUUGUCAUCAAGUAAAGCUGAAGCCAUCAAGGCAGCAAAACAUUACUAAGUAAGACAAAUGAAUAUUCUAGUGACUUGAAUCACCUAAAUAAAUGAGUCACAUUCAGAUGAAAGAAUAUUGCACCGACAAUACAUAAGCAUGAAUGAAUAAGAUUGCAGCUUCAUUAAUGCCAACACCAUGUUUCAAACCUCAAAUUUUAUCUGCCAAAACAACAUUUAUUGUACAAUAAUAUUUUUUUUUUUAGAAUAAGGGAUAUCAUUACAUUAUUGUACCCUUGUUCCUGAGAAGUAACGAUGGAGUGCAACAAACCCCUAGGAAGUACGUAAUUGCGCUGACACACACUCAUACAGCGAUGACCUUAGGCUAGAUUCAUUUUCUAACACUUGUAUUGGAGUGUUCCCUUUUUAACAUUCCAAAAUACACUCACUUUGGAGUGUCUCUUAUUUAUAAUUAUAUAUAUAGUUGAAAAAGGCAGUUUCAUUCAAUAUUCAAGGAAUGCUACUAGUCAUUUAUUACUAAUGCAACUUAAAUCAUCCAUCAAAGUAUUAAAGAUACAACAUUCAGUCAAAUUUAUCCAAAUCAUUCGUUGAUAAUUCAUAUGAUCCAAGAAUUAAGCAUCGAACAUAACAAAAAUUUUUGAAUAAUUGUGCAUAAACCUUGCGUGCUUCAAAAAGAACAAUUAAAAUGUGGAUGUAUUUCCAAAUAGCAUAUAUGUUAACAAUUAAAAUGUGGAUGUAUUUCCAAAUCCCAUAUAUGUUCCCCAAAACUUAAAGAUUGCAUUGUCCCUAAUGCACUGACAUGUUUAUGUAAUGACAAUGAAAAUACAAUAAUAAUGUAUGCUUAUCAAAAUAAAACCUACAACUACAUGCAAUGCAUGACUACUAUAACUAAAGCUUAAAACAAACUAACUCAGUUAUCUGCAGCUGUCGAUGUAGUUGCAUGGUGUUUCUUUCUCCUCCUUUUCUCCUCCUCCUUCUUUUAUUUUUUAUCAUUAGAGUGCUUCUUUUUCUUUUCUUUAAGCUUUUUGCAGUCUGCGGAUUACUUUUCAGUUCCUGGCUCUACCCAAGCAUCUUCGGCUACUUUUUGUUAGGAGAGGCCACUUGGAGAGGUCUAGUACAGACCACUAUUACCUAUGAAUUACAUUGCUCCUCACUAGUGACCUCAGCAACAUCCGCUGGUUUCACUCCAGUUUGCUCCAAAUUAUCAAUAUUUGCACCCCUAAAUCCCGGUGCAGUGACAACCUUUUCAAUAAAAUCUUCUUCUUCUUUUUUAUCAUUUUUAACAACUUUUUCUUCUUUAGCAACAACUUAUGCUUCAACAACUUCUUCUUCUGCAGCAUCAAUUUCCUUCUCAACAACAGUGUCCUCUUGAUCAGUAAAAAUAUCAUCCUCGAACAAGCUAUCAAAAUUGUGCAGACAUUCCUCAAUGUCCUUGGAUUUUUCAUCUUUGUCAUUAUCAGAGACUUGUACGAGGGGAGGAGAUGCCAUCGACCAGUCUUAGUCUUUGAAGUCAUCAUUUGCAGAUGAAUGCUCAUAGUUUCAAAUGAUUGGUAGAAACACUGGGAAGUUCAGUGUUGGGGAUAGGCUCAAUUGGCUUAAUGUGGCUACAAUGGAACUGUUCCAAGCUUUAGUAUAAGCAUAAAACAAAAUCUGAGAGUUCUCUAUGUCCUCAAUUGUAGCAACAAGUUUGAUUUGCCUAAUGUUGAUAGAAGUACCCAUUUUCUCAACAUCUUUCGUCUUACACUAUAAAGAUGUCUCUGUAUGCAGGGUUGUUCCUUUACUAUCGGCUUUGGCUUUGUCCUUCUUUGUCUUGCUAGUUCCUACCACUUUCAGUAUUAGUGUUUCUAUGCCAUGAGUCAUCCUCUCGAUAGAGGCUUCAUUAAUUGGACCCUUAUUAUCUAUGAUUUCUUCACCUUCCUGAGGGACAAUGCCUUUCUACCGACAUAGUGACAUUACCAAUUAUAGGAAAACCAAAAUGUCGGUCUAUCUGGUGGCACAUUCAACAAUUUCACCAUGGAGAAUUGCGCCUACAUCAAUUUUUCUACCCUUGAUAAUGGAAUGUAUCAGACACAUUUUAUCAAGGUUGACGGUGGUGCUGUGGGUAGACAACAGUAGUCUGCAGUUAAAAAAGUGAAACCAUAUUUUGCUAUGGAAUGUUAAGAAGCGCUGGUGUAUUGUAAAAUUCUUUAGAUGCAACCUUGUUCACUGUACUCUUUUAAUAUACAAAUCCUGUAUGAGUAGGUCUAUUUUCUCGUCCAUCAUUUUCGUAAAAAAAUUGGAGUGUUCGUCGACAUCGACCAUAAGGUUAUACAACUCAUUGAUUCUGUUGGCAUUCCAUGGGAUUAGACCUUAAUGGACAAAAAUAAAUUCUAAAUCUUGGUCAUAGAGGUUGGCAUAAAAUUCACAUACUAGGGAAGGGGAAUAGCUUCUAGGGUGUAUGCAGAAAUUUCUCUAUUCCAGUUUAGAAAUGGUUCAAUGAAUUUGUUUGCCCAACUCCUGUUGUUGUGACAGGGAAAUACCCUGUUCAGGGUGGAAAUUUUGACGCAAUAUGUUCUCUUGAAAUCGUCCCCUUGCUGCUUUAUUCAAAAAGAUUACUGGUUCCUUUUUCUGUACUUGUGUAACAAACUAAAUCUUGGAAACCUUGUUAAAAUUAUUUUGUGUGUUUGCGAUGUGAAACUAUGUUUGGCUUAGUGAUUUAGUGCUCUGUGGGUAUUUGGAAAGUUGUGGGUUCAAGCUUCGACUUGAGAAAAAUUUGUGCUUUUAUUUAAAUUAAUCUCUGCCUCCUAUUAGUUGACUUUUAUAUAGUUGAGGGGAGAUCAUGUCGUAAAUGGCCUGUUGGUCUAGUGGUAAAUGAUGGGUUCCUAUGCCAAGUGUCUGGAGUUCGAGUCUAGUUGCACGCAAGUGAGUUCCUUUUUGCAAAUGGCUAUGUGGGAGGUUGGAUGGCAUUGAGACUCUACUGGUGGGACGGUAGAGGAGUUGUUCAAGAAAUUUGAAUCGGGCAAGUGAGGGAAAAGAAGAGAUAUUUAUAGAGAGAUAAGGAGAGUGGAUAAGGAGAGGGGGGAGAGGUAGUAGUGGCCAAAAGUAGGAGUCUUCUUGGCACCAAUUCGGUCAUAGUAAGAAAAGUGUCGAAAUUGGUUUUGGGGUUUUGCUCUCAUUUCGUCAGUUUUUUUAAGUCUUUCUUUGUAUUUUGAAGUCUCGACUGAAUUGACCUUUGGCAUAUUCUUCUCCUUUCUUCUUUGAACCCUAAUUGAAUACCUUUUUUUCUCUUUUUCCUCUCAGUCAUUCCUCCCAUUGACCGAGCAUUCCCUUGUCUCACUUAUAAGCUUUUGCCGAAACAUUCUUGUUCUUCCUCCCUCUUUUUGGUUCAUUUUUCUUCUAAGUUUCUCUAUUUUGUUAGCCGAAUACCCUGAGUGUGGGACUCUUCCUUCUCUUCUUUCUUUUCUGCCGUUUCUUGCUGAUGUGCUGUCAAAAUUUCAAGGUUUUUGGGUAAGUGUUUGCGGUUUGCUUCCCUAGCUGAAUCUCAUAUUUUUAAAGAUUCGGCUUCUGUACCUCUUAAGCCGAGCGAUUGAUUUCUCUCCUUCCUACCAUGGGGGGAUAUUUAGCUAACACUCUUUCCAUGUUUAGUACAUUUUUUGUUAGGGGCCUGAUCUUUGUAACUAAGGAGUGAGGCCGAAUACUCUUUCCUUGCAAGUGGUACCUUCUCUUUUGGUAAGUACCUUAACUUCUAAAUACAACUAUGUGGAGUUGUAUAGUUUGAUUAAUUAGGUAAUUAUUUCGUGUGAAGGUUGAAACCUUGGGAGGAAUGCAUGGAUUUUGGGAGCAAGAGGGGUUUUACAAUAGCUUGUUUGGUGAGUAGUGAUGGUUCGGCUAAAGUUUCUGCAAUGCUAUAGUCUUUGGAUUAACUGCAAAUAUAACUAAUGGCGGGGUUGUGGUUGAUCAUAGGUGCUUGGAUCACGGAAGUGUUGAGGCUACAGUUUCAUUACAGGUGUGUGACACUAUCGUUAGAUGUGUGGUAGCAAAAGUCGAAAAGUGAGCUGUCGGCACCACACGGGCGUAUGGUCACCCGUGUGGCAGGCCUAGUUACUAAAUGAGGCCGUGUUAUCCAAGAAAUGGCCAUGGAUGACUCCGUGGGCCGAAACUGUAUUAGGCUAUCCUAGGUCGAAUUGGGCAAUGUGGACCCAAUGGGCCUGUGUGCCCGACACAAAAAAAUUGGACAAAAUGUGGUAAAUUGUGGGUCAGGUUGUGUGAACUACACGACUGAGGCCAUUUUGGGGCUAUGUGGGCCAUACGAGAGUGGGGGCCCAGAUAGGCCCGUAAUAUAGGCUAAAGGCCCAUUAGCACAGAUUGACUGAUAAGGUUACAUGGGUCACUCAAGACGACUGUGGACCUACAAUAGGGUUAGUAAGUACACUUAGACCCCAUAUUGAUGAAAUGACCAUUAUACCCCUAUGAGGUAAAUUGACUGAAAUACCCCUGUAUUAUGUAUGACUGUUUUGAGCAUGACAUUUUUUCAUAAACGUAUGAUAUUAUGUUGCAUUACAUGGGGUGGGAUAUAUGGUUUGGAGGAAGUGUACUGAAAGGCUAUAAGCCUAUUACUGGAAGCUCUGCUGCAAAUACUGCUUAGUAUCAAAUACUGUAAGUUUUGGUGUGUAGGGCUGGGUGGGUCGACUUUGUCCCCACAUGGUGUAUAGGGCUGGUACGGAGUUGGUGUGUAGCAGAUGGAUUGGGUAGGAUUCUUUGUGUGCAUACUAUACUGAUAUGGGCUAAGGCCCAGACUAUUUUUAUCACUGAAAUUGGCUAAGGCCUAAAUUGCUACUGUUACUAAAAAAGGGGUUAAUGCUCCUAACUAAAACUAAAAGGGCGUAGGCCCAGUUUGUAUUACUCUGAUUAUUUGUUAUUUUGGGUUUUCACACAUUGAGUUUUCGUAAAGUCACCCAUCUGUCAUCUGUGCAGGAAAUCCCCAAGCUUAGACGGAUCAAGGCGACGGAGGACUCAGAGGUGGCCACUUGACCUAGUUAUUUCUUUUCAUAUAAUUGAGAUUUUAUAUUGGGUAUGUAAUAAGGCCACUUUAAUUUUUACUUAAUUUGGGAGAUUUAAUUAUUCUAUUUUUGUAUUACACCUGUUAGUAAUAGUAGGCUAAUUUUCGUGAAAAUAUAAACAAAUUUUUUUCUGGAAACAUUACGCUCACGCAACACGUUUUAAAAGCUUCCGUAACAAAUACGAUUUAAAAGUUAGUAAUAAACUAGUUUAAUUAAUAUUUUACCUAAACAACUUAAGUUUUCACAAUGAGCUAGGCCUCCUAACCUUUCUUUUACAAAUCUAAAGAAGUGUCUAUCAAGAUUGGAUCUUUCAUUAAUAAACAUUUUGGAAAUCACUCCAAUCUGACAUCACAGAUUCAACCAUAAUGUCUAGGCCGAGUUUAGGGUGUUACAUUUAGUGGUAUCAGAGUUAGGUUGCAAAACUCGACUAUGGAUUUGUGUUUUUCAAAAAUGUGAAAAUUUCAACAAUGUUGUUUUAAAAUAGUUUAAACAGAUUAUUUGGGUUUAUGUUUUACUGAAGGAGUGGCAAACCGAGUCUCCGCCCUGAUUCUGUAAGUUUUCUGAUUGUUUGUUCUAGAAUGAUAAUGUUAUUACUAAGACUAUUUUAGGUAGUAAAACUGUACUGAAACUCUUACUUAACUACGAACCGUAGUAAGACUGUGGACUGCGAAAAUAGACUCUGAAAUAAUAUUGUUCAUAAAAUAUUUGUAAUAAACAACUAGAACAAUAAAACUGAAUGGCAUAAAAUUUUUAAUACAAAUAAAAGCUCGAGUGGAUAAUAAGCACUAGAGGUAUUUGUGGUAAAGGCUGCGACAGAGGCCAUGGAAGUGCUCGGACUGGAUCAUCGUCUUCUGGACACCAGCCUAAUGAGGAAGUUAGAGACAGCUUUACUUAUGGCUGAGACAAGGUCUCAAAAUUGAGUAGCUAGGGACGACGCACUGUCCUAAGCAAUGUUGAGGAUUCUAGAAAGGGUCACUAGGCCUAGUACUAGUAAUGUGGGUCGUGGGUCGGUUACGAAACAACUCAGGUCUAAUGGGGCAGAGAUUUUCAACAGUAUUGCUGGAGUUGCCCCUAAUGUCACUGAAUAUUGGAUUAAGGCUACAGAGAGAAUCAUGGAUGACCUUGACUGCACUCCCGAGAAAAUAUUAAAAGGUGCAGUAUCACUGUUGAGGGAUGAGGCCUACUAUUGGUGGCUUACUAUUAAAGAGCGCACUCAAGCUGAUCGAUUGACCUGGGAGUUUUUCAAAACUACUUUUCAGGCCAAGUAUGUGGGUGCUAGCUAUGUAGAUGCUAGUAGAAGGGAAUUUUUGAACUUAACUCAAGGAGAUAGGAUAGUGGCUGAAUAUGAUGUCAAAUUCUUGCGAUUGAGCCGCUAUGCAUGUGGAAUGGUGGCAACAAAAUACGAGCGGCGUGUCCGGUUUGAGGAUGGCCUCAGAGAUGGUCUAAGGGUUCUAAUAGCUCCUUAGAGAGUACGGGAUUUUGUAGCACUGGUUGACAAGGUAAAAAAUUAUAGAGGGUGUGACGCGCGCCGAGCACCGGAAUAGAGAGAAAGGUAGAAGUAAGAGGGAUGUUGAGCCCUCAAAUUCUUUUCAGAGAUUUAAGAAAAAGCCUAGAACUGAUGGGCCAAUCAGAGUUAGAACCCCUACUGCUGCUACUAGUGGAUCGUAGUUUUGUGCUGAUUAUGGGAAACGCCAUUAGGGUGAAUGUUGGAGGAAGUUUAGUGCAUGUCUGAGAUGCGAAUCGUUGGAGCACCGGGUUAAGGAUUGUUUGGAGUUUUGAUCAGAUGCAAGCUACUGGUAUGGGUACUGGUCAGCCACCGAGAGGUGUUCAGCAGCCACCAAAAGGUUCUCGUCAGGCCAGGGGUGGAAAUGGUGCUGGACAUGGACGCGGAGCACCAGACAGAGGUGUUGGUCAUACUGAGGCGAGGCAGUCGGCACUAGUUUAUGCUACACGUCACCGUGAGGAUGGAGAUGCUCCAGAUGUUGUAAUGGGUAUAUUCUUUAUCCAUAAAAUACCUUAUACUGUAUUGAUAGAUUAGGAUCUACCCAUUCCUAUGUUGCCUGUAAUGUUACUAAGAACUUGGGGAUUUUGGUUGAGAAUACUUCGAGUGGAAUUACUGUAUUGAGUCCGCUGGGGCAGUCCGUUCAGAUAAAUAAGGUGUUUAGAAAUGUUCCCUUGGAGAUACAAGGAGUUAUUUUUCUAGCCGAUCUUUUGGAGCUACUUUUCGGAUAAUUUGAUCUAAUAUUGGGCAUGGAUUGGUUAGUUAAACAUCGGAUGAGCUUGGAUUGUACCACUGAGUGGGUUGUACUAAGAACUAAGGCAGAUAAGGAGGUAGUGGUAAUUAGGGAACGACGGAAUUAUUUGAGUAAUUUAAUUUCAACACCAAAGGCCGAGAAGUUGGUUCGUAAGGGUUGUGAAGAGUACUUGGCCUAUGUUAGUGUUUUAGAUGCUGGGGACUCUUUGGUAGGGGAUAUCAGGACUGUUAAGGAUUUUCUAGAUGUCUUCCCUGAAGAGUUACCGGGGUUAUCUCCAGAGCGUGAAGUAGAGUUUGGGAUUGAGCUCCUUCCUGGUACAAGUCCGGUUUCCAUCGCCCCUUACAGAAUGGCACCGCUGAAGGAGCUGGUGGAGUUUGAUGCCCAGAUUCAAGAGUUAUUAGACUGUGGGUUUAUCCGACCUAGUGUGUCUCCAUGGGGAGCUCCAGUUUUAUUUGUGAAAAAGAAUGACGGAUCCAUUCGUAUGUGCAUCAACUACAGACAAUUGAAUAAGCUGACCAUUAAGAAUAAAUAUCCUCUACUGAGGUUUAAUGAUUUGUUCGACCAACUACAAGGAGCAUCGAUUUUCUCUAAACUAGAUCUCUGAUCGGGGUAUCACCAAUUGAAAGUUAAAGAUGCCGAUGUGCACAAGAUGGCGUUUAGGACUUUUUAUGGUCAUAACGAGUUCUUGGUAAUGCCUUUUGGACUGACCAAUGCACUGGCAGCUUUUAUAGACCUGAUGAACAGAGUGUUUCAACCUUAUCUAGACCUGUUCAUUAUGGUAUUCAUCGAUGACAUACUGGUGUACUCAAGGGGUGAUGAUGAACAUGAUGAAAAUCUCCGGGUAGUUCUGCAAAUCUUGAGAGAGAAGCAACUGUACGCCAAAUUCAGCAAGUGUGAAUUUUGGUUACGUGAGGUAACGUUUCUUGGUCAUGUGGUAUCUACAGAGCAGAUUAGGUUUGAUCCUCAAAAAAUUGAGGCUGUUGUAGAUUGGAAGCAGCCUAAGACUCUGUCAGAAAUUCGCAGUUUUCUGGGACUAGCUGGGUACUAUCGAAGGUUUGUGGAGGGGUUCUCACUGAUUUCCAUGCCCUUAACUAAGUUGCUAUGCAAGGACGUGCCAUUUAUCUAGACGGAUGUGCAACAUAAGAGCUUUGUGAAACUCAAGAAAGUUUUGACAGAGGCCCCUAUCUUGAUUCAGCUAGAGUCUGAAAAGGAAUUUACUAUCUAUAGCAAUGCAUCACACGUCGGUUUAGGUUGUGUGUUGAUGCAAUAGGGUAAGGUGGUAGCUUAUGCAUCUCGCCAGCUUAAGACUCACAAAGUGAAUUAUCCAACAUACGACUUGGAGUUGGCCACAGUGGUAUUCGCACUAAAAGUUUGGAGGCAUUACUUGUACGGUGAGAAGUGUACCAUUUACACGGAUCAUAAGAGCCUCAAGUAUCUGCUCACUCAGAAGGAGUUAAAUCUUAGGCAACUUAGAUCGAUUGAGCUGCUUAAGGACUAUGACUGCUCUAUUGAAUACCACCCUGGUAAAGCUAAUGUAGUGGCCAACACGCUGAGUCGUAGGGCUAUAAUUGAUCUAAGAGCAAUGUUUGCUCGUCUUAACUUAUUUGAUGAUGGUAGUUUGUUGGCUGAGCUCCAAGUCAAACUAGUGUGGAUCGAGCAGAUUAAGAGUAAAAACUGAAAGAUGAGUCUUUGGGUUAUCGGUUUCAUCAAAUUGAGAAUUGUAAUACUGUGGAUUUUCGACUGAACAGUAAAGGGUACUAUGUUUCUGAGAAAGAAUUUGUGUACCUAAGGAUACUGAUUUGAGGCAGAUUUUAUUGCGAGAGAUGUAUAGUAGCCCUUAUGCUAUGCACCCAGGUGAAAAUAAGAUGUACAGAGUUCUCCGUGAGACAUAUUUGUGGCCGGGUCUUAAGCUUGAGAUUUCCAAUUUUGUGGGGAAGUGUCUGACUUGCCAACAGGUUAAAGCUGAUCAUCAGUUGCCUUCUGGGUUGUUUCAACCAGUUAAGAUUUUGCUGUGGAAAUGGGAAAGAGUAACUAUGGACUUUGUGAGUGGGCUACCUCUACACCUUCUAAGAAAGAUUCAAUGUGGGUCAUCGUGGAUCAGUUGACCAAAACUACUCAUUUUAUACCAGUUCACAUAGAUUAUUCGUUGCAGAAAUUGACUAAGCUGUAUGUAUCCGAGAUAGUGAGACUGCAUGAGGUACCAAUUUCCAUAAUAUCUAACAGAAAUCCUCGCUCCAUGUUUCGGUUCUGGAAGAAGUUACAUGAAGCUUUGGGUACUUAGUUAGACUUCAGUACUGCGUUCCACCCUCAGACAGAUGGUCAGUUAGAGAGGGUGAUUCAGAUACUGGAGGACAUGUUAAGGAGUUGUGUGAUUGACUUUUGGGGCAGUUGGGAGGAUAACUUGCGGUUAGCAGAAUUUGCGUAUAAUAAUAGCUACCAAUCCAGCAUACAGAUGGCACCCUAUGAGGCAUUAUAUAGUCGUAGGUGCCAUACUCCUUCGUGUUGGACUGAGCUGGGUGAGCGGCAUGUUUUGGGUCAUGAGCUAGUAUAUGAUACUAAAGAUAAUGUUAGUUUAAUUUGAGACUGACUAAAGGCAGCAUCAGACAGACAGAAGUCUUAUGCGAAUCUGAAGCGUAAGGAAAUUGAGUAUUCUGUAGAAGAUUUUAUCUUUCUGAAGGUCUCGCCAUGGAAGAAGGUACUCAGAUUUGGGCAUAAGGGAAAGCUGAGUUCAAGGUUUAUUGGGUCUUACCGUAUUUUGAGACGAGUAGCACCAGUUGCCUACCAGUUAGAGCUACCUCCGAAAUUGGAGCGGAUUCAUGUUGUGUUCCAAUCUCUAUGCUGAGACGUUACUGUUCUGAUCCUGUGCACGUGGUAUCGGUUGAGGAGAUUGAUAUUAGACCAGACUUAACUUUCGAGGAGGAACCAGUUCAGAUUUUUGAUUGAGAGGUGAAAGUUUUGACAUGGAAGUCAAUUCCAUUAGUGAAAGUUCUUUGACAGAAUCACAGUUCUGAGGAGGCUACGUGGGAACUCAAGGAGGCGAUGCGACAAUAAUACCCUCAACUAUUCUGACUAGGCAAAUUUUGAGGCCGAAAUUUUCUUUAAAGAGGGUAGAAUUGUAAUGCCCCAAAUCCCAAAAACCUGUUAAAAUUAUUUUAUGUUUUUGUAAUGUGAAAAUAUGUCUGGCUUAGUGAUUUAGUGCUCUGUGGGUAUCUGGGAAGUCGUGGGCUCAAGCUUCGGCUUGAGAAAAAUUUAUGCUUUUAUUUGAAUUAACCCCUAUCUCCUAUUAGUUGACUUUUAUAUAGUUGAGGGGUAGUGGUAAGUGGCGGGUUCCUAUGCCAAAGGAUUGGAGUUCGAGUCUAGUUGCAUGCAUGUGAGUUCCUUUUUGCAAAUGGCUGUGUGGGAGGUUGGAUGGCAUUGGGACUCUAGUGGUGGGACGGUAGAGGAGUUGUUGAGGGAAUUUGAAUAGGUUAAGUGAGGGAAAAGAUGAGAGAUUUAUGGAGAGAUAAUGGGAGUGGAUCAAGGAGAGGAGGGAGAGGUAGUAGUGGCUAAAAAUAGGAGUCUUCUAGGUACCAAUUUGGUCAUAGGAAACGAAGUGCCAAAAUUGGUUUUGUGGUUUUGGUCUUCUUUCGUCAAUUUUUCUAAGUCUUUCUUUGCAUUUUGAAGUUUCGACUGAAUUGAACUUUGGUAUAUUCUUUUCCUUUCUUCUUUGAACCCUAACUGAAUACCUUUCUUUUCUAUUUUGCCUCUCAGUCGUUCUCUCCUUGACCGAGCAU
rnacentral:lncRNA from 1 species